GGAUUUAAUCAUUGAACAUUAUUUAACUUAGAGAAAAUUCAAUAAAUCUUUAAUCUCGACACCAUACACUAGGUUUUCUCAAUUCAGCGCCAAAAUUCACACUCACACACGCACGACACUCUCAUUGUACGCGAACGACGCAACACACACCUUCAAACCACACUCAGGCGACAACUCACACUUUGUCACGCAUCAAUCACUUAUUAGUAUCUCAUUAGCAUUCAACACGGAAGGAAGCUCUCGCAUUAAGCAAGGCGCGUAUUUUUUUUUUUGGUUGGUUUUUCUCAAUGCUAAAUUUCAAAUAAAGUGAACACCGUUUGUGCUCAUUAAAUUUACUUUAUUAUUUUGUGUCCAUUAUAAUUAAAACUAUAAAAUUCAAACUUUUGUUUUCGACGCCACGGCGUGGUCAAGCCGUGACCAAAUUUGCGCGCAUCGCUUGUGUACAUAUCUGAAUUAAUCGAAAUAAAAUCGUUGUUUAAUUUCA